rnacentral:rRNA from 1 species
GAUGAACGCUAGCUACAGGCUUAACACAUGCAAGUCGAGGGGCAGCAUGAUUGAAGCUUGCUUCAAUUGAUGGCGACCGGCGCACGGGUGAGUAACACGUAUCCAACCUUCCGUACACUCAGGGAUAGCCUUUCGAAAGAAAGAUUAAUACCUGAUGGUAUCUUAAGCACACAUGUAAUUAAGAUUAAAGAUUUAUCGGUGUACGAUGGGGAUGCGUUCCAUUAGGUAGUAGGCGGGGUAACGGCCCACCUAGCCUACGAUGGAUAGGGGUUCUGAGAGGAAGGUCCCCCCACAUUGGUACUGAGACACGGACCAAACUCCUACGGGAGGCAGCAGUGAGGAAUAUUGGUCAAUGGGCGCGAGCCUGAACCAGCCAAGUCGCGUGAGGGAUGACGGCCCUAUGGGUUGUAAACUGCUUUUAUAAGGGAAUAAAGUGAGUCUCGUGAGGCUUUUUGCAUGUACCUUAUGAAUAAGGACCGGCUAAUUCCGUGCCAGCAGCCG